CCUACGGGCGGCAGCAGUGAGGAAUAUUGGUCAAUGGGAGAGAUCCUGAACCAGCCAAGCCGCGUGAGGGAAGACGGCCCUAUGGGUUGUAAACCUCUUUUGUCGGAGAACAAAACCCGGGACGUGUCCCGGACUGCGUGUAUCCGAAGAAAAAGCAUCGGCUACCUCCGUGCCAGCAGCCGCGGUAAUACGGAGGAUGCGAGCGUUAUCCGGAUUUAUUGGGUUUAAAGGGUGCGUAGGCGGUCCGUUAAGUCAGCGGGAAAAUUGCGGGGCCCAACCCCGUCGAGCCGUUGAAACUGGCAGACUUGAGUUGGCGAGAGGUACGCGGAAUGCGCGGUGUAGCGGUGAAAUGCAUAGAUAUCGCGCAGAACUCCGAUUGCGAAGGCAGCGUACCGGCGCCAGACUGACGCUGAGGCACGAAAGCGUGGGGAUCGAACAGGAUUAGAUACCCCUGUAGUC
rnacentral:rRNA from 1 species